GUGAAUCCCCGGGGCUCAACCCCGGAACUGCAUCCGAAACUGCGGCACUCGAGUACAGGAUGGGAGAGCGGAAUUCAAGGUGUAGCGGUGAAAUGCGUUGAUAUCUUGAAGAACACCGGUGGCGAAGGCGGCUCUCUGGAGUGUUACUGACACUGAGGCACGAAAGCGUAGGGAGCAAACAGGAUUAGAUACCCUGGUAGUCUACGCCGUAAACGUUGCGUACUUGGCGUGGGAGGAAUUAACCCCUUCCGUGCCGGAGCUAACGCGUUAAGUACGCCGCCUGGGGAGUACGGCCGCAAGGUUAAAACUCAAAGAAAUUGACGGGGGCCCGCACAAGCGGAGGAGCAUGUGGCUUAAUUCGAUGCAACGCGAAGAACCUUACCAGGGCUUGACAUGGUACUGCACGCCCCGUGAAAGCGGGGAAGCCUUCGAGGGUGUACCACAGGUGCUGCAUGGCUGUCGUCAGUUCGUGCCGUGAGGUGUUUGGUUAAGUCCAGCAACGAACGCAACCCCUAUGUUUAGUUGCCACCGGUGGUGAUGAGCCACCGAGCACUCUAGACAGACUGCCCGUACAAGCGGGAGGAAGGUGGGGAUGACGUCAAGUCAGUAUGGCCCUUACGUCCUGGGCUGCACACGUGCUACAAUGGUCGAUACAGUGGGCUGCAAUACCGCAAGGUGGAGCAAAUCCUCAAAGUCGGCCUCAGUUCGGAUUGGAGUCUGAAAUUCGACUCCAUGAAGUCGGAUUCGCUAGUAAUGCCGUAUCAGCUACGACGGCGUGAUACGUUCCCGGGCCUUGUACACACCGCCCGUCACAUCAUGAAGCCGUCUGCACCCGAAGUCGCUGAUCCAACCCGCAAGGGAGGAAGGCGCCGAAGGUGUGGGAGGUGAUUGGGAUGAAGUCGUNANAAGUAACACAGGCGA
rnacentral:rRNA from 1 species